rnacentral:rRNA from 1 species
CCUACGGGUGGCAGCAGUGAGGAAUAUUGGUCAAUGGCCGAGAUGCUGAACCAGCCAAGUCGCGUGAGGGAAGACGGCCCUACGGGUUGUAAACCUCUUUUGUCGGGGAGCAAAACGAGUCACGUGUGACUCAUUGAGAGUACCCGAAGAAAAAGCAUCGGCUAACUCCGUGCCAGCAGCCGCGGUAAUACGGAGGAUGCGAGCGUUAUCCGGAUUUAUUGGGUUUAAAGGGUGCGCAGGCGGAGGUGCAAGUCAGCGGUAAAAUUGCGGGGCUCAACCCCGUACUGCCGUUGAAACUGCAUCCCUUGAGUGCGCGAGAAGUAUGCGGAAUGCGUGGUGUAGCGGUGAAAUGCAUAGAUAUCACGAAGAACUCCGAUUGCGAAGGCAGCAUACCGGCGCGCAACUGACGCUCAUGCACGAAAGCGUGGGUAUCGAACAGGAUUAGAUACCCUGGUAGUC